rnacentral:rRNA from 1 species
UACGUAGGGUGCGAGCGUUAAUCGGAAUUACUGGGCGUAAAGCGUGCGCAGGCGGUCCGUUGUGUCCGAUGUGAAAGCCCCGGGCUUAACCUGGGAAUGGCAUGGGAAACUGGCGGGCUGGAGUGUGGGCAGAGGGGGGUGGAAUUCCGCGUGUAGCAGUGAAAUGCGUAGAGAUGCGGAGGAACACCGAUGGCGAAGGCAGCCCCCUGGGCCAACACUGACGCUCAGGCACGAAAGCGUGGGGAGCAAACAGG